UGGGGAAUAUUGCACAAUGGAGGGAACUCUGAUGCAGCGACGCCGCGUGAACGAAGAAGGCUUUCGAGUCGUAAAGUUCUUUUAUAUGGGAAGAUAAUGACGGUACCAUAAGAAAAAGCCCCGGCUAACUACGUGCCAGCAGCCGCGGUAAUACGUAGGGGGCUAGCGUUGUCCGGAAUCACUGGGCGUAAAGGGUUCGCAGGCGGAAAUGCAAGUCAGGUGUAAAAGGCAGUAGCUUAACUACUGUAAGCAUUUGAAACUGCAUAUCUUGAGAAGAGUAGAGGUAAGUGGAAUUUUUAGUGUAGCGGUGAAAUGCGUAGAUAUUAAAAUGAAUACCGGUGGCGAAGGCGACUUACUGGGCUCAUUCUGACGCUGAGGAACGAAAGCGUGGGUAGCAAACAGG
rnacentral:rRNA from 2 species